CUCCGGGGUGCUGAGGCCGCUGGAGCCUCCAGCCAGGCUCGAGGGCGCAUCCCGAAGUCCCGGGGCUGCUUGGAGGUGGCUCGGUCUCCUGCGCGCAGCCACCUCGUGUCGCCUGGGCUGAGGCAGCCAGGAAAAGCAAGAGUGGGCCUGGGAGGUGAGAAAAGGGGGAACUCCUGCUAGGGCUACACUACCUGGCUUCUACUCAACCGAGUGGGUGGGCAAGAGGAAGCUUUUGGACCUGUUAACCCUCGCGCAGCCGCCCCGACAGACACCCCUUGAUCUCCAGUGAUCCUGGAGACCUGGCUUGGAGGCAAAGUGGAGUGAAGGGUUUGGAGACUUCUGAGAAGGGCCACCCAAUCUCGCGGAAAGUGCUGCAGCUACUGAAGUGGCAGAGACCUUUGUGGGUGGCGUAGGGUGGGGAGGCGGCCCGGGAGGAGUUUAAUCUACCUGGAGGCUUCACCUGGGUUUGCGCAGUUUGGCGCCUGGAACCCCUUUACCAGGCCCCUGUGCUCCGAUCCGAACCCGCCCCACAAAUGCCAGUAGGCAAACUCUGGUUCCUUUGACCUAGGUGAUCAGAAAGAAGCAGGCUGGGGAAUAAACUUUCCUUCUAAAUCACCCCCACCACACACACACACACCCCCGGUUGUUAAUACGGAGGUUUUAGUUCUGGAGGAAGAAUUAGUUGCAGGUGUGUCCAGAAAGACGGUGCCUCUGCCCCCAUGUAUACAAAUACAUUAACCUUUCCCCUGGCUAGACGAAGACCGUGUGAAGUCUUUUUAAAACGAUGUCCACGUUACCAAGAGCUGUGGCUUGGUGUUUAUUGCGUCCCUGAAAAUCGGCAAGUGGACAGAUCUCUACAGUUGCACAGAAAAUGUGCUUUUGCCCGUUUGGGUAUUUAACAGGGUAGCCGGUUUCCCGGUGGAUGGGUUUUGAUGAGGAGAUAGGGCAGCUUCCCAUUUUGGCAGUGGAGGAAUGUUCACCAUAUUUGGAUUUGCUUCACUUCUUGGACACAGCUUCGCAAUGCUCAUGUGAAAGUUGGUGAUGGUUCAGAGGGAAAAUUGCAGACCUCACCCACAGCCUGGACAGCAUAGUUUCUUGCAAUGAAGAAUCAACACUGGGUUAUUUCCAAAGAUUAAAUCUUGAAAGCCCACUGGGAGGCUGCAGCAGGAGGGCAGAGAUGUCCACACACUUGCACAUGAAAACUAGUCUUCCACUAGGAAAUCUUCCUCUUCAGCUAAGGCCCUGGAAGUAGUGAAGAGAAAGGGCCCCUUUCUGACCAAGCUCAUAGGGAUGUAUCAAACAGGGUCUAUUUCUGCAAGAAACAGAGCUUCACAGGGCAGCCAGAUCAUCAUUUGUCGCUCAUGUCACCCUGCUGGGUCUGUCACCUCUGUGUGGGUGAGGCCCAGCCCAGAGCUCCUGAUGUGGAAGCGGAAAUGCUGCCCUGCUUCACUCACGAAGCGGUGUGUACUGUGUGUUGCCGUGGCCACCCCAAGGAUGUGGCUCCUUCCUCUAAUCUGUCCUGAGUCACCUUGUAUGGGCCAAGGCCAGUAUUGACUGUCCCACCCUGUUCCCCACUCCUGUCCAGAGUUAUUGUCCCCACUUUGGUUGAAUUAAAAAUUCCCGUGAACUAAUUAUA